rnacentral:rRNA from 1 species
GAAUUUUGGACAAUGGGGGAAACCCUGAUCCAGCCAUCCCGCGUGUGCGAUGAAGGCCUUCGGGUUGUAAAGCACUUUUGGCAGGGAAGAAAAGGUUCUGGCUAAUACCCGGAACUGCUGACGGUACCUGCAGAAUAAGCACCGGCUAACUCCGUUCCAGCAGCCGCGGUAAUCAGUGGGGUGCAAGCGUUAAGCGGAAUUACUGGGCGUAAAGCGUGCGCAGGCGGUUUGGCAAGAAGGAUGUGAAAUCCCAGGGCUUAACCUUGGAACUGCAUUCUUAACUGCCAGGCUAGAGUAUGUCAGAGGGGGGUAGAAUUCCGCGUGUAGCAGUGAAAUGCGUAGAGAUGCGGAGGAAUACCGAUGGCGAAGGCAGCCCCCUGGGAUAAUACUGACACUGAGGUGCGAAAGCGUGGGGAGCAAACAG